CACGUAGUUAGCCGGCGCUUCUUUACCCACUACCCUCACCACAACCAUUGUUGCGGCUUGACCAUGAGCGAAAGAGGUUCACAACCCGAAGGCCUCCAUCCCUCACGCGGCGUCGCUGCAUCAGGCUUGCGCCCAUUGUGCAAUAUUCCCCACUGCUGCCUCCCGUAGGAGUCUGGGCCGUAUCUCAGUCCCAAUGUGACCGGUCACCCUCUCAGGCCGGCUACCCGUCAAAGCCUUGGUAGGCCAUCACCCCACCAACAAGCUGAUAGGCCGCGAGCCCAUCCCCCACCAGAAAACCCUUUCCACCAACCCCCAUGCGAAGACCAGUGAAUAUCCAGUAUUAGCACCCGUUUCCGGGCGUUAUCCCAAAGAAGGGGCAGGUUACUCACGUGUUACUCACCCGUUCGCCACUCAUCCACCCAACAAAAGCCAGGCUUCAGCGUUCGACUUGCAUGUGUUAAGCACGCCGCCAGCGUUCGUCCUCGAGCCAGGACGUACAAACUCUA
rnacentral:rRNA from 1 species